GACGAACGCUGGCGGCGUGCUUAACACAUGCAAGUCGAACGCUGAAGCUCAGCUUUUGUUGGGUGGAUGAGUGGCGAACGGGUGAGUAGCACGUGAGUAACCUGCCCCCUUCUUUGGGAUAACGCCCGGAAACGGGUGCUAAUACUGGAUAUUCACUGGUCUUCGCAUGGGGGUUGGUGGAAAGGGUUUUUCUGGUGGGGGAUGGGCUCGCGGCCUAUCAGCUUGUUGGUGGGGUGAUGGCCUACCAAGGCUUUGACGGGUAGCCGGCCUGAGAGGGUGACCGGUCACAUUGGGACUGAGAUACGGCCCAGACUCCUACGGGAGGCGGCAGUGGGGAAUAUUGCACAAUGGGCGCAAGCCUGAUGCAGCGACGCCGCGUGAGGGAUGGAGGCCUUCGGGUUGUGAACCUCUUUCGCUCAUGGUCAAGCCGCAACAAUGGUUGUGGUGAGGGCAGUGGGUAAAGAAGCGCCGGCUAACUACGUG
rnacentral:rRNA from 1 species